GGGCUUAGAACAAAAUCAAAAAUCUUGUAGUACAAAAGAAAUUGAUUUAGGGUGAGUAAAAGGACAGAAAUCAAACAGUAUCAAAAUUUGUAAGGUACCCUAAAAUCAAGUGGGAAAAGAAAUUGAAGGUGAUAUUGAAUGGUUGAGUGAGGAGGCAAAUUGAUGGGAACAUGUCCACAUGCACAUGGGACACCAUUGGGGGGCUGGCUCCAAAAUUAGGUCUUCUGGUACUUGUCCACAUCUUCUUCUUCUUCUUCUCUCUCUCUCUAAAUUCUGAAGCUAAAGCUAUGGCAUCUCUCUUGAAUGAGAGUAUAGGUUAGAUGGAGG
rnacentral:lncRNA from 1 species